UACGGAAGGUCCGGGCGUUAUCCGGAUUUAUUGGGUUUAAAGGGAGCGUAGGCCGGAGAUUAAGCGUGUUGUGAAAUGUAGACGCUCAACGUCUGCACUGCAGCGCGAACUGGUUUCCUUGAGUACGCACAAAGUGGGCGGAAUUCGUGGUGUAGCGGUGAAAUGCUUAGAUAUCACGAAGAACUCCGAUUGCGAAGGCAGCUCACUGGAGCGCAACUGACGCUGAAGCUCGAAAGUGCGGGUAUCGAACAGGAUUAGAAACCCAGUCCGGCGACUGACU
rnacentral:rRNA from 1 species